UAUGAUGCUCGCUUUCCUGAGAAGCAGAGAGCAUCAGUCCACAAGAAAGAGAAAAGGAAACCUUGCGAGGACACACCUGGAUCCAUUUUACAGGAAGAUGAUAAAAGAUUCACAGCUGCUGCCCGUGCUGGGGAUCAGCAGCUGCCAGCUGAAUUCCUGGUGGCCCUGCUGAGCAACCAGUGUGCUGAAUCUAUUAUUUAGAGGCAAAAAGUUCAGCCUAGCAUAUAAUCAUUGAAAGCUGUCAACUUCCAGCCUAUCCUGGGCUUCCUCUGCAUGAAGGAUCCUUCCCUGCGAACCACGGCCUCCUCACCAACUUCACAUCACAAAAUGAAAACGAGCAGCAAUCCAUUAUGCGUCAGGUACCUCCAGAGAGCUGCUCACCCUACAGUGCUCUUCUGCGUCCCUGAAUGUGCUGGGCAUGAGGGUUUCACCCUUCAAACCAGAGCGUUCGAGGACAGGACGGGCAGGGGGCUGCAGCCCAAGGAGCUGGGUGAGUGCCCGUUUUCUCCUUCUGCAGUUCAAGGUGAAACACUUCGUUUGCGCUCGUUUCCAACUCUGCCUCUCUCAAAAGCCGUGCCAGAUCAACAUCUGCAUUGUCCUCCCCCCAUGCCAGUGUGCCAGUGACCCCGAGGUUUCUGAACCACCCUCCCAUCUCCCCCUGUCUCUGCAGCAGGCCUUUGAGUUGUUUGGCAGGGAGUCUGUGCAGACAGCCAGCGUAACCAGCACUCUUGCCACCUGCUCACUGAAAAUCCUCCCGACUUCCCUGCAAACCCGCACCUGGGAUAAAACACAGCUCCUUGCAUCCUGUGAAGCCCGGAGGGCUUACAACCUGGAUUCAGGCUGCAAUUUAUCCACCAGCAAGACUCAGCUGUAUCCAGAGCAGAACACAACCUCUCCACUGACAUUUAGCUACAGCAGAGAGCCCCUGCUGCAAGAAAUGAGGACAAAUCCAACCGAAAUCACAGGCGUGCUUUGGGGAGGCUGAAUUUUCUUCCCUGGAAUUGAAAUUUGGUCAGGGUGCUGACACCAGCCAUGGAAUUUGU